rnacentral:lncRNA from 1 species
AGGGGAGCUACGUAUGACUGGAUCCUCAAAGAGAAGUUACGUAGGCAGCUUGGCAUACUACUCCAAGUUCAGUCAAAGCUGAUGAAUUUGUGGUGCGGAACCCGGGAUCAACAACACAAUCCGAAACCCCACAUAUAACACCAGCACGCAGAAAACUUGAAGCCUUAAAUAAACCAUCCCUACGUACCCCACAAUCAACGGUGCGAUGGUGAACAACGGUAACUGGGAAUAGGAAAGAGAAUUGAAAAGGCGCCACGAGAAUACCUCGGUAAAUAGAUUCAACUCCUAAUUCAAGGGGACGGGUGAAGAAUCCUCCAAGGAGCACUCGCAAUUAGCAAAAGCUGAACGCAGUAGAACUUCCUCUCUCCCGGCGGGAUUCCGCUUGCUCCGGGGUUGUUUGCUC